rnacentral:rRNA from 2 species
CCUACGGGAGGCAGCAGUAGGGAAUAUUGCGCAAUGGGGGGAACCCUGACGCAGCGACGCCGCGUGAGCGAUGAAGGCCUUCGGGUCGUAAAGCUCUGUCCUAUGGGAAGAAUUUGACGGUACCAUAGGAGGAAGCCCCGGCUAACUACGUGCCAGCAGCCGCGGUAAUACGUAGGGGGCGAGCGUUGUCCGGAAUUACUGGGCGUAAAGGGUGCGUAGGCGGAUAUGCAAGUCCGAUGUGAAAUGCCUCGGCUUAACCGAGGAGCUGCAUUGGAAACUGCGUAUCUAGAGUGCAGGAGAGGGAAGCGGAAUUCCUAGUGUAGCGGUGAAAUGCGUAGAUAUUAGGAGGAACACCAGUGGCGAAGGCGGCUUCCUGGACUGUAACUGACGCUGAGGCACGAAAGCUGGGGGAGCAAACAGGCUUAGAUACCCCUGUAGUC